UAAAGAUAAUAAGGGCGUACGGUGGAUGCCUUGGCGAUAUCAGCCGAAGAAGGACGCGGUAAGCUGCGAUAAGCUACGGAGAGGUGCAAGCAACCUGUGACCCGUAGAUUUCCGAAUGGGGGAACCCGGCAGUGGUUAUGCACUGUCACCCAUAGCUUAGACUAUGAGGAGGGCACCUGGGGAACUGAAACAUCUAAUUACCCAGAGGAACAGUAAUCAAACGAGAUUUUCUUAGUAGCGGCGAGCGAACGGGAAAGAGGCCAAACCGGAGCGGGCAACCGCACCGGGGUUGAGGACAGUCAUCAAGUGUAAAUGAGGUAGAAGAAUCGAGCUGGAAAGCUCAGCCGCAGAAGGUGAAAGCCCUGUAAUCGAAACCUUGCAUACACGGGACUGUAUCCAGAGUACCACGAGACACGUGAAACCUUGUGGGAAGCAGGGGGGACCACCCUCCAAGCCAAAAUACUGAUAUCGACCGAUAGCGCAUAGUACCGUGAGGGAAAGGUGAAAAGAACCCCUGGCGGGGAGUGAAAGAGAACCUGAAACCGUAUGUCUACAAACAGUCGAAGUCUGUAUAUAUAUCAGGACGACGGCGUGCCUAUUGAAGAAUGAACCGACGAGUUACUGUUGCUAGCGAGGUUAAGUGGAAAACAUGGAGCCGCAGCGAAAGCGAGUCUGAACAGGGCGUUCAGUUAGUAAUAGUAGACCCGAAACCGUAGUGAUCUAUCCAUGGCCAGGUUGAAGCACAGGUAAAAUUGUGUGGAGGACCGAACUCGUGAGCGUUGAAAAGCUUUGGGAUGAGUUGUGGAUAGGGGUGAAAUGCCAAUCGAACACGGAGAUAGCUGGUUCUCCCCGAAAUAGCUUUAGGGCUAGCCUCGAGGUAGAGAGUAUAGGCGGUAGAGCACUGAUCGGGCUAGGGGCCAUACCGGUUACCGAACCUAGUCAAACUACGAAUGGCUAUACUUAUACUCGGGAGUCAGACAGUGAAUGAUAAGGUCCAUUGUCAAGAGGGAAACAGCCCAGAACACCGACUAAGGUCCCCAAUGUUACACUAAGUGGCGAAGGAUGUGGAAUUUCCAAAACAACCAGGAUGUUGGCUUAGAAGCAGCCACCAUUUAAAGAGUGCGUAAUAGCUCACUGGUCGAGAGACUCUGCGCCGAAAAUGUCCGGGGCUAAAGUGUAAAACCGAAGUCGUGUCAUAUGCAGCAAUGUAUAUGGGUAGGGGAGCGUUCUCAUCGGGCUGAAGCAGUACCGUAAGGAGUUGUGGACUGAUGAGAAGUGAGAAUGUCGGUAUGAGUAGCGAAAAGAAUGGUGAGAAUCCAUUCCACCGAAAGCCUAAGGGUUCCUGAGCAACGAUCGUCGUCUCAGGGUAAGUCGGGACCUAAGCCGAGGCGGAAUAGCGUAGGCGAUGGACAACAGGUUGAAAUUCCUGUACCGGUGUGAAUCGUUUGAUCGAUGGAGUGACACAGUAAGGUAGGUCAGCACGCGAUUGGAAGAGCGUGUUUAAGCAGGUAGGUUGAGCUAUAGGCAAAUCCGUAGCUCUAAAAGCUGAGAUGUGAUGACGAGCGACUAGCAAUAGUCGCGAAGUGAUUGAUCCUACACUGUCGAGAAAAGCUUCUAGGUAGAGACACAUCGCCCGUACCAAAACCGACACAGGUAGGCGGGGAGAGAAUCCUAAGGUGCGCGGGAAAACCCUCGUUAAGGAACUCGGCAAAAUGCCUCCGUAACUUCGGGAAAAGGAGGACUCAUGUAGUGUGAAGAGCAGAAGCGCUUGGAGCAUGAAUGAGUGGCACAAGAGAGGCGCAAGCGACUGUUUACCACAAACACAGGUGCCUGCUAAAGCGAAAGCUGAUGUAUAGGUGCUGACACCUGCCCGGUGCUGGAAGGUUAAGAGGAGGGGUUAGACUUCGGUCGAAGCUCUGAAUUGAAGCCCCAGUAAACGGCGGCCGUAACUAUAACGGUCCUAAGGUAGCGAAAUUCCUUGUCGGGU
rnacentral:rRNA from 1 species